UUCAGGUUCUGAGGAACUUCUAGUGGUGAAUCCACUGGGACCUGGGAGAUCAAACCUGGUCCUACUGGUCUGGGGUUGUCUGGGGGAAAGCGAAUGAGCCGUUUUUGACAGUUCCUUCUUGGAACUGCUGUUUGGGUGGUUCUUGGGGUGAGAUGGGUGGUGGCGCAGUGGAGGUGGGAGGCAGUAGGGGCCUCCUGGGGUCAGGAAGAGCUGGGUGAGUCUCCCUCAGGUUCUCCGGAGGAUGCCUGUGGGCUGAGCCAGGCCCUCUACACAGGAGCCCCCUGCAGCGGCAGUGAGGAGGCCUUCUCCAGAGCUUCCUCCGUCUGGAGGGACCCAGAGGCGCUUGGCUGGUGCCUCCAUGGGCUUGCUGGAUCCCGAAGUGCGCUUGGUCGAGAGUCCAAGGCCCUCUCCACAAACCCCGAGGACGCCUGACCAGAAACAGCUGGCCUCCCUCUUCUCAUUUCUAAACAUUGCCCACGUGGACUCAGAAGCCCAAGUCCAGCUCCAGGGAAGGGGAUGGCGCCGGCAUCACGGCAGUGGAGGUCGGUGGUGGCAGACCACGGCCCUUGGAGAUGUGGGGGUGCCCCUUGUGUGUCUUGUCUGCUUUCUGUGGUACUUGAAGAGAAGUUGUUCGUGGUGGAUUCGCUUUACUUAUGACGAAUCAUUCACGGACAACACUUUUUUCAGUACCAAAUGCUGCCUCUAAGGACUUCUUGGAAAUAAUGACAUCCUGAAGGAAGACGGUCUCUGUGUGUCAACAGUGUAGAGGAGCACGUACAGAUGGCCGGCCGUGGACAGUGUACUGACCUAGCUGUAAGUCACCUGGUCUGAUAACCUGAGCAUCCGAUUCAUCUGUAAGAGACCUCCUGGUGGGCCAGGCCAACCUUGGGGAGGCAGCUGUGGUUCUACCACCAGCAUCAAGACUUGGAAAAGAAGCCAAUCUCCAGAAGAGAUGUUGGUGCCAGCACCGUCCAGGGUGUGUGACUGGUUGACCAGAGGGGCAUGCACUCUGUUCACCCUGUGGGCCACCUAGUCACCAACCCUCAGCAUCAAUCACGCCCCAGGAAGACCUUCUGGAGAUCCUACCAACUGUGGGAAAGUUAUGGUGGACUUGCCGGCUGUGCCCGCUCAAUGGACCAGGAGGAACCGUGGUCUGGGGGUUGUGUUUCAUAAUGAGUCAUCUCUGGUAGCUCCUUCAUCCGUCAUAGUCUCCUUGAAGGACUGACUUCAGUGUUGGACCCGACGUUGACUUCCCAUGAGGGACCUGAAGAGAAUCCGUGGAGUUGAUAUCGACUCUGAGGAUCAGCCACGGUUCUCCCGAAAGUGUCACUCCAUUGGGGGCACUGCCAUGAUGUGCUCACUUCAUGAUGGGAGAGGACCAACCGAACCCCCUUCAGGUAAGUGCGCCUCGGGUGAGCAUGCACUUAAUGUGGGUGUAUGUCACUCGGCUCGGCCCACUACCCAACAUUAUCCCACCCAUUCCUAACAGGACUUCCGAAGGGGAGGCCACCUUUGCAAGAGUGGCAGUGGAUUUCUCACCAGUGUCCACAGUGGUACUUGCAGUGAGCCUGCCGCGAUGAAUUCGGUUCAUCCAAGUGAGUCCUACAUGACUCUCCUCUCUUUUAGUGUCAGAUUCUGCCUCGGAGGGCUUCCUGAGCCUGUGCCGCUUCCCAGGUAGGUUUCUGGAUGGCUGAGUACGCAUGUUGCUGAUGUCCAAGCUGACCUAAAGAGGACGUGCUGGGCACCACCUACUUCACAAAACGCUCAAGAGGUUGUGGCGAUGCCUGCCUUUUCAGAAACUAAUACCGAAACACACGGGCUGACGUUUUUAUUACUAUUGCAUUCUAACUUGGACGGGCAUCCAGAAGCAUCUUUUAUUAGUCAGCCCUUGAGGUGGAGAUAAAAUGGAACCUGGACCUUGUGUGUUGCUUGGUUCACUCACCCCCAGUGGCCCACACCUGCAGGGAGCUCCUUGCAGGGGAGCCCAGGUCCACCAAGGAGGCAGUGUUAGCCCGCUUGGCAGACACGUGGCGUGCUUUGUUGACAGUCAUGUGCAGCAGUGUGUGCGCCCCGACAGCUCUGCUCUGCUGAGUGUUGCCUGCAUGGCUAAGGGCAGGAAGUGCUUAUCGAGGGCCAGUGAGCCAGGGUUGACUGGAGACCAGGGGUACGACUCGGGAAUCCAGCCACAGGGUCCACUCAUCCUCAGGGCUCUGUCCACUCCCAGAGGUGCUCCCAAGCUCCCCAGCUGCAUGGAAGACACAGGGCGGCUGCAAGCAGCGACCCCUCCUGGUACCUGGAGGGAGGUUGUCCGUGUAGAGUUUGUAGCAUCUAAUGAUGCCCGAUGCACGGCCGACCUCUCUUCAGCGGUGAUGAGUGAGGUGCCAUUCCCGUGGGUCUGGCGGCCACACGACAGCUGAGGACAGAGGGCGGUUCUGUUUCCAAUUUUUAAUUUUUCUUUUAAAAAAAUAAUAGUCGUUCUACCUCAUUACUCUAUUUAUAACAAUGACAAGUGCUUAUAAUAAAAAUUCAAGCAACGUGGAGAAUCUAAAUUAAAAAGGAGAGAAACUAGCCAAUUCUCCAUUCACCUACCAAUAACCGUAAAGGCCUGGAGGUGCCCAUCUGAAGGCAUAUGUGAGUAAGGAGAAGGUGGAUGAAGAGGGGAAACUCUCUACAGAUGGGAGCCCCCCUCCACCCUGUAACCUGCUCAUUGGUUAAAAACGUCAACUAAUUUUACUUACUUUAGCAUAAGGAAUAGCUGAAGGAGGUUGAAGGGAUUCAUACCACAAGAGGGAUGAACCCCUAAACGAUCCCAAUACAAUCGAGGACAGUGAUUGUGUAAAACAUAAAGUGGUGGGUUCACGCGUUCUGGCUGUUUCAUCUCCCUCCGAGUUCUGAGAUAGACGGCCCUCUUCCCCUGGCCCCACAGCCCGCCUCCUUGUUUCGUUGUGCAUUUUAAUUUCUCCGUUGUAAAUACUGCCCAUGAUUCUGACAAGUGUCUCAUCAUCGCCCCGUAUGUGAAUGGAGUCACUACUGAUGACUUAUGCUUGCUUUUCUUUUCUUCAAACUGGGGCUUCCCUCUUCCCGAGUUUGGAUUUUGAUUUCUGCCUCAAUGGAGUAAGUUCUACCAUUUCUUCAAGAAGGUCUCCAAGACCUUGGACGUUUGGAAGCACCUAACUCUUGCUUUUAUGCAGAGGGUACAGCUCAGCUAGGCACAUGUUUCUCUGACUACUGUUGAUUUUUAUUUUUCCUGAGAGGUUUGUAGAUGCUUCUCCAGCACCUUCUGCAUUGAACAUUCGUAGGUGUUUGGACGAGGCUUCUCCAUGCAGCCCCUGCUCACCUAAACUGAAUGAGCUAAUACAGGGAAACAUGGAGGCCACCUGGCUCUCAGGCAUGUUGGGCAAGUGCUCUCCCACCAAGCCUCACCCAGCCCUUCCGAGGGCGUUUUGCAUAUGUCAUUGGAGAGACUUUGGGUUACUAUACUCCGAGAUGUCUUUCAGUUCUAAAAAUGUCUAUUUUUCUUUCACACCUUGUCUAGUCUGCCUGUUAUUUUUUUUUCCUAUACUGUUCUAUGUGGUCUCCAGGAUUUCCAGUUCUAUCUAACCUCUCUGGUCACUGUAAAGGGACUUCCUGUAUAAAUUCCCAGGGGCACGGCCUCUCUCUGUGGAUCCUUGACGCUCUCAUGACAGGCUCUCCUUGGGGGCUCUGACUUUCCGUCAUGUCAUCUGAGGCUGGAGGUGUCCUGUUCCUAGGCGCGAGAGCCGUAAUGUUAUGGGCUGCCUUGUCUGGCACCCCAAGGAUUUCCCCUCUGGGGAUCAGAUUUUUUGCCAGUUUCUUGGCUCAAGGGCCUUGGGCCUUUGGGCUGGUGGAAAUCCUCACCUUGACUUGGUCCCGGAGCUUUGAUGUCCCUUGGGAGCCCCGCUGGACCCUCUGCCUACACAGAGAGGACCCUCCUGUCAUUUCCCCGGGCGUGGUCCUUUCUGGGUUGCCUCUCUGUCCCAGGCCCGCCCCCUGGGGGCCGAGGUCAUGCCUCCUGUGCUGGCUCGAGCUUGGGUUUUAUGACUGCAGACCCUCGGAGCCUCCAGUGGGUCUGGCCCCCGGUUCCCUUUGGGCAGGUUGCAGGUGUUUUCUCUGAAUUCGACUCUCCCUUCCCGCCUGAGCCUUUGUCUCUUUCAGUCCUUCCUCUGGGUGUUUAUCCAAGGUGCUUGUGGUUGUGGUCGAUUGGUGCAGGAGCGUUUGCCUGUCAGGUGGCACCGGGCUCCAACCUUUGAGCUGAAUGACGGGUUCGCCCAGAGUGACCCUCUUGGGUCUCUGUCUCCUUCCCUCAAAAACCUUCUGCGCUGUCUCCUGAUAUUGAAAUGUUGCUAUAGACAAGCCUGAGCAUAGCGCUUCCCUCUGGGACAUCUGCAGGACUGGAGGGGUUGUUUUUUUGUUUGUUUGGUUGGUUGGUUGGUUUUUUUUUUCUGCUUACCUGUCCUGAUUCUUUCUUUUGUCUUGAAUAUUGGUGACUUUACCAGGAUGUGACACAGUCACUAUUUUUCCCUAUCACAGUUUCUGAGUCCUAUUAUUUCUUCUUUAUUAGAUCUGGUAAUUUCCCUCUAUUUUAAGGAUUAUUUUUUUCCUUUUCUGUGCAUACUUUUCACUUCAGUUUUGGUCUUUUUUUUGGAAUUAACUGAGUUAUUUGUAGGUCUUUUCUGGAGUUAAUCACGGCACCCCUGCGUGCCAGGGUCCAUGCAACUCUCUUUACCUGUACGUCUCUCUGUUGUCUUUUGCUUUGUACGUUGGUCUGUUUAAAAUGGUGGCGCCCGGGGGCCCCUUCUCAGUGCUGCCUCCACCGUGGCAGGAUGCCGACCUACAGGGCCAGCUUCUGGGAUGGACCUGGACCAGCACACUCCACAGGUAGGUGGCUUCCCUGUCAGCAAUAGAAGCUUUAAGUUGGACACACGUGUUGGCUGGUCCAUAAACCCUAAGCACACCGUCUCUCUUUAGGAAGACGUCCUGGGAGUCCUGUCCACUGUCAGGGAUGAGGCCAAGAUUCUGAGGUCGGUGCCAGGCCACGGGACAGUGCAGUUUGCCAUCAGUGCUGCCCCUUCCCGUGUGAUCGGCACCGCAGUCAAGGUCUUUGAAGGGCUUCCUGGACACGGCACCCAUGAGAAGUAUCAUUCUGCUAGGCUCAGUGCGAAUGGGCAAUGGGGGUGGUCCCUGCCAUGAUCAAAAUCAUGUGUGCUCUGUGGCAAAGGUGCCGAGGCCCCGGGGCGGCUGCGGGGUACAGGAGGGAAGGUGGGCGCUGCGUGCACUCGCCCACAUCGUUCACUCAGUCC